rnacentral:rRNA from 1 species
GAUGAACGCUGGCGGCGUGCCUAAUACAUGCAAGUCGAGCGAACAGACGAGGAGCUUGCUCCUCUGACGUUAGCGGCGGACGGGUGAGUAACACGUGGAUAACCUACCUAUAAGACUGGGAUAACUUCGGGAAACCGGAGCUAAUACCGGAUAAUAUAUUGAACCGCAUGGUUCAAUAGUGAAAGACGGUUUUGCUGUCACUUAUAGAUGGAUCCGCGCCGCAUUAGCUCGUUGGUAAGGUAACGGCUUACCAAGGCAACGAUGCGUAGCCGAGCUGAGAGGGUGAUCGGCCACACUGGAACUGAGACACGGUCCAGACUCCUACGGGAGGCAGCAGUAGGGAAUCUUCCGCAAUGGGCGAAAGCCUGACGGAGCAACGCCGCGUGAGUGAUGAAGGUCUUCGGAUCGUAAAACACUGUUAUUAGGGAAGAACAAAUGUGUAAGUAACUAUGCACGUCUUGACGGUACCUAAUCAGAAAGCCACGGCUAACUACGUGCCAGCAGCCGCGGUAA